AAAAAAACCACGUUAUGAAAUUUAUUGCAAUUUUCAUAACACAGGAGCAUGUGCCAGGCUGUGAAUUAACAAUGGCGUGGAUUAUACAGAUCAUUUCAAGCACCAGACUUGCAUCCUGCAGCGUUUCGGACAGUUACACCGUUGCGGCAAUACAGAAGGACGAAACAUGCCACAUCAUCAUCCAACAAGGUUAAA